GUUGGAUGAAAAUCAUCCCGGGCUUUGCCAGUGGCCGCGAGUGCCCAGAGCUUCCAGGGGCCUCAGCUCACCAUGCACUGCCCCGUGUGUGGCAGUGAAACCCAGGCCCUGACAGGC
ensembl:snoRNA